UACGGAGGGGGCAAGCGUUGUUCGGAAUCAUUGGGCGUAAAGGGCGCGUAGGCGGCCGAUCAAGUCGGGUGUGAAAUCCCUCGGCUCAACCGAGGAACUGCAUUCGAUACUGACUGGCUCGAGUCCGGGAGGGGAUGGUGGAAUUCCCAGUGUAGCGGUGAAAUGCGUAGAUAUUGGGAAGAACACCGGUGGCGAAGGCGGCCAUCUGGACCGGAACUGACGCUGAGGCGCGAAAGCCAGGGGAGCGAAUGGG
rnacentral:rRNA from 1 species